UUGCACGCUGGCGGCAGGCCUAACACAUGCAAGUCGAACGGUAACAGGAAGCAGCUUGCUGCUUUGCUGACGAGUGGCGGACGGGUGAGUAAUGUCUGGGAAACUGCCCGAUGGAGGGGGAUAACUACUGGAAACGGUAGCUAAUACCGCAUAACGUCGCAAGACCAAAGAGGGGGACCUUAGGGCCUCUUGCCAUCGGAUGUGCCCAGAUGGGAUUAGCUAGUAGGUGGGGUAACGGCUCACCUAGGCGACGAUCCCUAGCUGGUCUGAGAGGAUGACCAGCCACACUGGAACUGAGACACGGUCCAGACUCCUACGGGAGGCAGCAGUGGGGAAUAUUGCACAACGGGCGCAAGCCUGAUGCAGCCAUGCCGCGUGUAUGAAGAAGGCCUUCGGGUUGUAAAGUACUUUCAGCGGGGAGGAAGGGAGUAAAGUUAAUACCUUUGCUCAUUGACGUUACCCGCAGAAGAAGCACCGGCUAACUCCGUG
rnacentral:rRNA from 1 species